rnacentral:misc_RNA from 1 species
UUAGUGGGAGGCGACUCGUCGU